GGAAGCGAAUGCCGUCUGGUGGCGACCGCGGACUUCAAAUCCGUUGUGGGGCGGGAGAACUGUCCCGGGUGGGUUCGAUUCCCACACGCUUCCGCCA
rnacentral:tRNA from 1 species